rnacentral:rRNA from 1 species
AUUGAACGCUGGCGGCAUGCCUUACACAUGCAAGUCGAACGGCAGCGGGGGAGAAGCUUGCUUUUCCUGCCGGCGAGUGGCGAACGGGUGAGUAAUACAUCGGAACGUGCCCUGUAGUGGGGGAUAACUAGUCGAAAGAUUAGCUAAUACCGCAUACGACCUGGGGGUGAAAGUGGGGGACCGCAAGGCCUCAUGCUAUAGGAGCGGCCGAUGUCUGAUUAGCUAGUUGGUGGGGUAAAGGCCUACCAAGGCGACGAUCAGUAGCUGGUCUGGGAGGGCGAUCAGCCACACUGGGACUGAGACACGGCCCAGACUCCUACGGGAGGCAGCAGUGGGGAAUUUUGGACAAUGGGCGAAAGCCUGAUCCAGCAAUGCCGCGUGUGUGAAGAAGGCCUUCGGGUUGUAAAGCACUUUUGUCCGGAAAGAAAUGGCUCUGGUUAAUACCUGGGGUCGAUGACGGUACCGGAAGAAUAAGGACCGGCUAACUACGUGCCAGCCGCCGCCGUAA